GGCUGUUCAGGUCGAUCCGUUCAGUUGUCUCUGGUGGUUCGGCGCGAACGCUCGCUUCUUCUGCAAUUGUCUCCGGUUGAGGGAUUCGCACUUCAAGGCGGAUUUUCGGAAUCCCUAAGUGUUUGGUCCAGCACUGAAUGUAUCAGAGUUAUCUUCAAAGAAAGACGGACGAUUGUUUAUUCUAAUACAAGUUUGUGUUACAAAAAGAAUCUCAUCUUGCCGUGAACGAGUGUGAUACAGCAGCUUGGCCAAUCCGAUACCGGCGCGAUUCCGUAACGAAUCCUAAAAAUAAGCCGGGAAAGUACUCAAUUUAGUGAAUAAACAGUGAAACCCAAGCAAACCACCAAUCAGCCGAUAUUGACUCGAGCUGAUAUUUAUCGGCCGUGAGUCACAUCACAGCGUGAAACCAGUUUGAAGACGAGUUUGAAGUACCUUUGGUGACGGAAGAAGAUCCACGUCGUGACCGGUUCACUUGUCAGGUCCCCGCGUGGCGUGAUAAUUACUUCUCCAGGUGCCCCCUCAAGCGCGGCGGAAAGUUUUCCAAACAGUGUUUGUAUAUUUACCCGCCGAUACCAUUUCCGGUUUCCUGAUCGGCGUCAUUAGACGGACGCCCCAACGACGUUGCAGCUAGAGCGGGAAGAUCCCACGGGGUGUCCGAGCUCUGUUGUGCUUUCCAGAACAGCAACAAACCCCAGGUUAAGGUGAGGCCGCGCCGCAGCUCAACCGCCGAAUUUUGUGCGCGCGCGUGCUAAGCAGUUCCACAUGUUCCAGCCGCAACAACGACAGUAAACAGCUCAGUCAGCGGCAGCUUGGCGGAGGAGGAGUGCAUCCACAAAUCGGUGUCACUAAAAACACGAAAUUUUGCCAGCAUGUCAUUCACAGGAUCAAAGUGCGUGGGCGUAGACCUCGAAUAAUCAUGCGUGAUUGGAUAAUCGAGUUUCAGUGAGAAGAUCGAGAGAGCCAAAAAGGGCCGUUUCAUUCAAAAUUCGUUCGAAGAACUGAAAGUGUGUCUUUGGGUUGGUGUCUGUUAAGUAAGAAGAGGAAACAAAGAAACCAUAGCGAAAAUGAUUCCAAGGUACGUGUGUGCCUUCUUGGUGGUGUUCGGCGUGCGCGGCAUCUCCGGGGACAGUUUGCCGUGUGACUUUAUCGAUUCGGUCAACAUCACCGACGGAGUGCGGGACUCGGCCGGCAACAUCAUCCACAACAACAUUCUGUACAAACCAAAGUACUUCCGGACGAUCGACUACGAUUACGAGCACUUUUCGAGAAAGAAGUUUGUGGCCGAGUACAUCCGGGGGUGUCCGUGUGCCGUGCGGUUGUGUAUCCGGAUGUGCUGUCCGUACGGGACGGUGUUCUUCCAGCGAAAGUGUGUUCCGACCGAGGGUCAGCUGGUGGUGAAUGUGAACACCACGUUGUACAACAGCAACCGAAGCUCGGAGGUUGUCGAUUUGACGCAGAAUCAGAUGUACGGGUUUCUGUACGGUAAACCGUGUGAAUCGGUGUACCAGCUGGAUCCGGAGAACAGUCCAGAGGAUGAGUGGAUCUUUGCGAGGAACGGCAGCAUCAUCUACGACUCCCGCCUUAUGACGAGGAACCAGUUCUGCUUCAUGCAGAACAACAACUCGGAACCGGUGAUCCCGUACAUCUGCUUCGAGCCCGAGGAAGACUUCAAGUAUGCGUUGUAUCCGAUUGGAAUGUUGCUGUCGGUGCCGUUUCUGCUCAUCACGCUGUUCGUGUACGCGUGCAUUCCGGAGCUGCGGAACAUGCACGGCAAGUCCCUGAUGUGCUACGUCCUGGGGCUGACCGUCGGCUACACGGCCCUCUCCCUGGUCCAGAUGCGGCUGUUUGCGGCCGAAACCACCCCCUGCGUCGUGGCCGGCUACACGCUGUACUUCUUCUUCAUGGUUAGCUUCUUCUGGCUCAACGUGAUGUCGUUCGAUAUCUACUGGACGUUUAGCGGAAACCGCGGCGCCAAGAGUACCGAGCGUAAAAAGUUCUGUCUCUAUUCGCUGUACGCCUGGGGAUGCCCGGUGCUGCUGGCCGUCCUGGCCUUCGUCAUGGACAACACCGAACUCGUUCCGGAGUACUACCGGCCCCGGAUGGGCAAAACGCGAUGCCUCCUGCAGGAAAACAAAUACGUAGAGUUCCUCUAUCUCUAUCUGCCAAUGCUGAUUCUGGUGUUUGCUAACGUGAUGUUCUUCGUGAUAACCGCGAUACGGAUUAUCAAAAUCCAGCGGGAAACUUCCGUGGUGCGCCGUGGGGAUUCGAAGCGCCACUCCAAGCUGGACAAUGACCGGGACCGAUUCAGCCUGUACCUGCGGCUGUUCAUCGUGAUGGGGGUGACCUGGUCGAUGGAGGUGCUCUCGUGGGCGGUCAACAACGUGGCCUGGGUGUUCUACAUCUCGGACGUGUGCAACUGCAUCCAGGGCUUCCUGAUCUUCAUGCUGUUCGUGUGGAAGCAGAAGGUCAAGCGGCUGAUCUACAAAAAGUAUCACUUCGGUAACCCCGUUGAACGAAUCCUAGAUCCCGUAAGAGCGCGUGCACCCCCCAAAAACAAGAAGAAGAAGAAGAAGACAUGGUAACAAAAGAGACUGAAACACACACACAUUCAUCGUUGACCAAUUACUCGAAUCGAGCUCUCAUGAUUUAUGGGCGAACGAGCGAUCGAGGUGUGGUUUAGUCCCAAAAGUCGUCCGGCAAACAGUUUGUACAAACUGCGUUGUUCUAGGUUCGGUAUUCAAAGCAAGAGCGAACAGGAGCAAUCGCUGUCAACCUGCAGCACACGUACGACGGCCACAACCUCCUCGUUCAACG
rnacentral:misc_RNA from 1 species